CCCUGGCCUCCCUGUGCCCAGGAAAAGGUCUGCAAAGAUUCUAAGGGCCUCUUCUGUCCACCAUGUCCUCCCCAGCACGAGCUCAGGAGUAAGUAGGUUCUUUCCUGAGACCCAGGCAAAAAUUCUCUAAGGGGGGGCCACCUUGUCAGUCUCCUCCAUCUUCUGCCCCGUUUGGUGACCUCCAAAUAGAAGCAGUUGGGUAGCAUUCAUGAUCCAAGAGGAGAGCGAGCAUGGACUUGGGAACAGAAGGGCCUAGUUGAAUUCCAGUUCUGUGGCUGGAAAUGGGAACCCCUAGGUCUGACAGUGACGGCCAGGAUGCCCUGGUCAGAGGAGCUGGAUGUUGCAGUGUCUAGGUUCUGUCCCGAGACCACACUGUACCCUGCCGUACCCCAAGAGAGAGUGACCAGGAGUUGUUUUGAUGGCAUCAGGCUCAGUAAUGUGUGAAGACUCGGCGCAAACUGAGAGGGAGGAGACUGGUAAGAGCUGACCUGAGAAAUGGAGGAAGAUUGGGAGCAAACACCUAAUUAAAAUAUGUUUGACUUUCCAUGA